rnacentral:rRNA from 1 species
UACGAAGGGUGCAAGCGUUAAUCGGAAUUACUGGGCGUCAAGGGUGCGUAGGCGGUUGUUUAAGUCUGUCGUGAAAUCCCCGGGCUCAACCUGGGAAUGGCGAUAGAAACUGGGCAGCUAGAGUGUGUCAGAGGAUGGUGGAAUUCCCGGUGUAGCGGUGAAAUGCGUAGAGAUCGGGAGGAACAUCAGUGGCGAAGGCGGCCAUCUGGGACAACACUGACGCUGAAGCACGAAAGCGUGGGGAGCAAACAGG